GACGUUUUUCCCGUUAAAAAAUGUCCAAUGUGCAAGGAAGACUGGGAAAUGGCAUCACGUCGAUUGAACUGUAAUAGUUCAUAUGGAUAUCAUUGUGUGCCUAAUAAGCAGUUUACAUCGCUUAUUGAAUUUUGUUAUCCCAAAGGACCCAGAUUUCCUUUUGAAAAAGGUAAUUGUUUGGAGUUAGCUGCCAAUGGUAUUCUCAAUCAAGUUUAUUGUAAUGAUACUUUUGAAGACGGAUGCCCACAAGAUCACUACUUCAGUAAUGAAAUGUACAAGUUCCCCAAGUGCUUGAUGAUAAGCAGGAGUUUAAGAUGCUUUGACGCUGAUCAUGCAUGCAUAUAUUCAGAAUUACUGAAAAAUAAAAUGAAAGAACAAGACAUCUCUACAACAGAAAGCAAUGCCCUAAACGAUGGUGGCAAUCAAUGCAACAAUAUCGAGGGAAAGGACGAGUCUACAGCUGUAAUCACUUCACUAGUAGUUAUCAUUGUUACAAUUGUUAUUGCAUACUUCAGUAGUGGCGAGUGUACCGACGAAGACCGAGACUCUGCAUUUGAGGAUGAACCAUUUAUAAGUGAUAAUAAAGAGUCUGUGAUAGCAGGAAAAGGAGCUCUACAAAAAUUACACGACGCAUCGCGGGGAUAUUACACUGGAAAAAUAGUGAAGGGUGGAAUUCUAUUCAGUACGCCGCCAAAAGUGGAAAUCUAAAGGUAUUCAAAUAUCUUUGUGAAAUGAAUGUAGACAUUGAAAAUAAAUCAAGGCAAACCGGGAAAAACUGCCUCCACACAGCUUGUGAACGAGGGAAUAUUGAAAUAUGUACUUACAUUUUAGACGAAAGAAAAAACGUGACUCUUAUUACGCAGUCUGAUAAGCAUGAACAACACGUCGGGCACUUUACAGCGAAGAGUGGAAAUAAAAAAAUUCUCGAUCUAUUAAUCAAACAUUUACGGAAUACUACUUUGCCGAAUUUGCUUGAAAAACCAACUACUGAUGGAAUAAACAUACUUCAUAUUGCAUGCAGACAUGCAAGGUUUGACAUGUGCGUAAAAAUAGCCGACAAAUUUCCUAGUAUGAUAAGUGAAAUCACUGAAA
rnacentral:sRNA from 1 species